rnacentral:rRNA from 1 species
AGUGAACGCUGGCGGUAGGCCUAACACAUGCAAGUCGAACGGCAGCACAGUAAGAGCUUGCUCUUACGGGUGGCGAGUGGCGGACGGGUGAGGAAUACAUCGGAAUCUACUUUUUCGUGGGGGAUAACGUAGGGAAACUUACGCUAAUACCGCAUACGACCUACGGGUGAAAGCAGGGGAUCUUCGGACCUUGCGCGAUUGAAUGAGCUGAUGUCGGAUUAGCUAGUUGGCGGGGUAAAGGCCCACCAAGGCGACGAUCCGUAGCUGGUCUGAGAGGAUGAUCGGCCACACUGGAACUGAGACACGGUCCAGACUCCUACGGGAGGCAGCAGUGGGGAAUAUUGGACAAUGGGCGCAAGCCUGAUCCAGCCAUACCGCGUGGGUGAAGAAGGCCUUCGGGUUGUAAGGCCCUUUUGUUGGGAAAGAAAAGCAGCAGGUUAAUACCCCGCUGUUCUGACGGUACCCAAAGAAUAAGCACCGGCUAACUUCGUG